AAAUCGACUUUCUCUCUCUCUCAAUAAAAUAGCCUUUCGGCUCAUGCAAAUCGUCCCACAUCUAAGCUUCAUGCAACAUUUUUACUCUCACCGGUCACCACAAAAACUACUUUCCACACCACAGGGAACACGUCACCUUCACACUCUAAUCACAUGCCAUAUAUACUAUUAUUUUAAUCAGCCAAUCAAUGCAAGUACGUGACUAAGAGCCUUAAAUUCUAAAUUGAAGAAACAAGGCCCUGCUCUCCACUCUAGCAUCGUUUUGCUGACAUCUCUUACACCAAAAUACGCACGCUCAUCGCAUUGUAACGUCCUUCUUACGUUUCAUUCCUAGGUUUCCUCUCCACAUAGUCAGCAGCGAAGAGCGUAUAUCAACAUGAAGUCAUUCUCUUCUUCUUUUUCUCUUGCUCUCUCCAAUCAAUCAAUGGAUGUAGUCGUGUUCGAAAAGGUGAAGACAUUAACGCUCCAUAAUGGAUUGAUUUCCCAAUCAUGAUCCUCCUGUUUAUGAUGAAGCUUGGGGCAUUCACAAACGUCUUUGAAUUUUAGGGUUUUCUUUCUAGGGUUCCUUUCUUCUUUCUUUUCUUUUCUAGGUUUCUUGUUGCAUUGAGUGAUGUCGACGGCAACGUCCAGUCGGAAAGCUUCUGUAACGAUGUCGUCACUUGCAAAGCGGCAGGCGUCGGAGAAAGUCGUUGGCAAAUCAAUGGCUUUGCCGCCUCACUUGGCCAAGAAACGUCAUGUUCUCGCUAACGUCACGAAUCAAAGACCCACCUCUCAUAACAUCUCAAAAAGCCCAUCUAAUUUGACUCAAAACGAACAGCUAAAUAAUGAUGGUACCUUCAGUUACUCGAAGAUACAAAUGCGUCUUUUGAUCCUGAUAAACCAAUCAUCUCUGGUUUCCUUCAAUUCUUGAGAGCACUCAUAUUGUAUGGUUAUUUGAUCCCAAUCUCCCUUUACGUCUCCAUUGAUGUAGUGAAGUUCUUUCAAGCAAUGCUCAUGACCAAUGACCUCCAACUGUUCGAUGAAAUGUCUGGGAAAUCAGUUGAAGCCCGAACUUCAAAUUUGAAUGAGGAACUUGGUAAGGUUACGAUGAUUUUAUCUGAUAAGACCUGGACUUUAACUUGUAACCAAAUUGAGUUCAGGAAGUGCUCCAUUGAAGGAAUUUCUUAUAGUGUUGAUGUAAAUGCAAUUGUUCGUGCUGCUUCUCACAGAAUGAAUAUUAAUAUCGAUAGCUAUCGUUUCAAUCUAGUUGGUGAGGAUUCCGAGCCUCGUGAUAGUAUUGAGAUGCAUGAAAUUUUUCCCGAUCAAUAUAACGAAGUAAAGAACAAUAUCUUUGAUGAUGCAAAAACUAUGAGAAAUCUUGGUUCAGGUGCUAGAGAAUGUGUAUGAAAUCAUCGAUAAAGAUUUGAUGUUGUUAGGUGCUGUAGCUGUUGAUGACAAGUUACAAGAUGGGGUUGCAGAUUGCAUAGCUAAACUCGCACAAGUUGGACUCAAGAUAUGGCUCCUUACUGGAGACAAAAAGGAGACUGUAGUUAAUAUUGGGUUAGAAUUCUCAAAUAUAUGCCUUCAUCAAUUAUCAGGUUCCAAUUGGUUCUAGGGUGGUAUAUUUGAGAGUUUCAAUUCCAUUGUGGAUUGGACUCCUUAUAUAGGCACUUGGGCUUUUCGCGGGACUUUGUGUAUCUAACUUACAUGUCACAUGAUGCUUUUAGGAUGGGACAGCGGUUGCUGAAAGCCUGAAAGAAUAACCCUUUUUUAGGAACAUUCUAACCUUUUUUUUGGAUUUUUGAUUAGAUUCGCUUGUAGUUUGUUUAGGCAUGAUAUGAAGCAGUUUCAUCUGAGUUUGAGCAGGGAUGCUGAAUCAAAAAAUCAACUAAAGCUUUCAGGCUAUGACAGAUGACAUAUUAAACCAAAUCGAGGCUUCUUAUCAAGUGACAGUAAACGAAAAAACCAAGGAUGAUCCUUUUGCUCUUGUAGUGGAUGGGAAAGCCCUUGAAAUUGCUUUGGGGAAUGAUUGCGAUAUAUUUGAUUGAAAUCCUUUCUGAAUCGCUUCCCUUACCGUUUUUCUUUUCUUUUGAAUUUAUUGUCCCUGCUUUCAUGAAAACCAAUUGAGAAGAAGCUGUCAGUUGCCACAGAUGAAAUUGAGAUUGAUAUUGAUACCCUUAGUGAUGAUACUCUAUUCAAAUUGAGGAAUCUUUUGGAUGAUCAUUUUGUGGAGAAACACAUAUAUGGUAAAAGAUGAAACUUGUGAAAUUAAGCUUCCGAUGAUUCAGGGUUCAGCAACUCAUCUAUGCAAGCAUGCAAAGCUAAUGAAGGUAAUGAAGAGGAUGUGGACAUUGGUGGAGAUGAGAUACAUAUUUCUAGCUUCCCUCCAGUAGAGAUAGAGAGACAUAACUGUGAGGAACAACAAAAGCAGUAGUUCAAGUAGCUCCAGUAGUGGUUCCAGAUCAACAUCUAAUGGAGGGAAAUGAAAAUAUACUGCCUGAAUAAUGAAUUUAUUAACUAAACUUGUCAUGUGAUCCGAAAAUGUACUUCCCGAAUAGUGAAUUUAUUAGCUAAAUUUGUCAAUUUAAUAAGUUUUUUGGUUGUAGGACAAUGCAAACAACAAUUGGUGCUUUUGGGGGCGAAGGUAAUGAUGAUGGGAAUCCACUAGUGGCCCAAAAUACAAGCAAAAGCAACCGGCUUGUAAUUUCAAGUCUAACUUCUCCUCCAUUCAUUGCUAUUGAGCUUUGUUGAGAGCAUUUGGUAUGUAAAUAAUUCUUUGACAAAUUUCAACCAUUUAUGUAAAAACUAAAAAGGUGUUAGCUUUACUCACAACAUCACAAACAUGCACAAUCAAGAAAACAAAUAGGCUAUUUUUCCA